GGGUCGGUGCCCGAGUGGUUAAAGGGGGCGGAUUGUAAAUCCGCUGCAUUAUGCUACGUUGGUUCGAAUCCAACCCGGCCCA
rnacentral:tRNA from 1 species